UUUUUGCCAACAUCUGACAAUUUCUUAUUGAAUUUAUAAAAUUUGGUGUUAAAUUUAAUAAAAUCGUUUCAUAUAUUAAAUUGCAGACCACAAUAUAUGUGUUAAACACAAUAAAAAUUCUGAUCAGCAUAAAAAUGCUUUCAAAAACAACCCUGUUGACAAAAGCAAAUCUCUUUAAUCGUAGUGUAAACGGGUUUGGGAGAUUAUCUUAAAUCAAGUAGAUUUGGGUGUUAGUGUAAACAUGGUUUAAAGUAGGGUUAUUUGACGGACUUCCUUUAUGGAACUGUCAAAUAAACCUACUAUAAAACUGAUUUAAGUUUUGUGAAUGCGGGUGUUAAACCCCAUUUACAUUGGCCACUAAAUCCGGAUUUAAUGGCUCGAUCACCUGUUUUCCCUUUAUAAAAUCAGCUGAUGAAAGCCUUAAAUCCGGAUUUAGUGGCCAAUGUAAACGGAGUUUAAUGCCCAUAUUCACAAAACUUAGAACAGCUUUAUAGUAGGGUUAUUUGACAGUUCUUAAAGGAAAUCUGUCAAAUAAGCCUACUUUAACGCUACUUCAAGUUUUGUGAAUACGGGUGUAAGUGUGCACACAGUGGUAAUAUACUAUGACACCGAUGACCCUUUAGGGUUACCAACGUAGUAUUUUAUCGUCGACCUACCGAUCGUUUCGACCUUCUAAAAUGUUACAUGCGACUCCAAAUGCCUCGGAUUAACCAAGUUUAUUGACGGCAGUAAAUGUGUUCACACAUGACGUCCUCGCUUGAGCACUACACAACUUUAUGCAUUCUGUGAUCGUCCGGAUCUCUCUCUGCAGGACCGUAUUAUGGUCAGGGAUUCGGAAACAGAUGUCAGUUCCUGGGUCCGUGUAGCAUGUACUUCCAGAUGGCGAUACCAAAGCUUCGUCAAUCCAAGACUGUGCCAGUGGCAGCUGUGCUUCGCAAUGGUCAUCAAGUGUCAUCUCAGUUAUUCCAUCCAGUUUUCCUACCGUCGACUCGCUAAUACGCAAAGGUAUGAACUUCUCGUACCCUCUAUUACCCUCAUUCCUUUAUCGUCUUAAGCAUCAGGGAGUCGGUGGCUGUCUCACACAUAAUCUGUAUGUCGAUGGAUCGGAUAUGUAAAAUCAAAAUCUUACUCUCUAAAUACCUCUCAUGUAAUA